UACGUAGGUGGCAAGCGUUGUCCGGAUUUACUGGGCGUAAAGAGCGCGCAGGCGGUCGAUCAAGUCGCGUGUGAAAGCCCCCGGCUCAACUGGGGAGGGUCACGCGAUACUGAUCGACUCGAAGGCAGGAGAGGGUAGUGGAAUUCCCGGUGUAGUGGUGAAAUGCGUAGAGAUCCGGAGGAACACCAGUGGCGAAGGCGACACGCUGGGCCGUACCUGACACUGAUGCGCGACAGCAUGGGGAGCAAACAGG
rnacentral:rRNA from 1 species